CGUACCGUUACGUCGACUUCUUUAUCUCAGCCUCUCUUUCGGAGGAAAACAAAGCCAGUUAACAUCGGAAGUCUAAAUAUUAGGAUUGGGAAUCCGUUUCCUCUCACGAGUACAGCCAGAACAACCAGAUAUAAAGCAGUGGAAAAAUUUGAAGAUCUGAAAUCUCUCCCAAUGAUUUAUCGGCAUUAAAGCAACUCAAGACUUUAUAAGGAUGGCUAGUUGUGGAGAGGUCGACCACUCUGUUGGCUCACUUCCAUCCAGCAAGAAAGGCGGUAGCGGUGGGGGUGGAAGUGGGAACAGUGCAGAAUCAUCAUGCCCUGGUUCCAGCGGCUCAUCCCCAGCCCUAUCUGUGCCAGAGUGUGCCAUCUGUCUGCAGAGCUGUGUGCACCCAGUCCAACUGCCAUGCCAUCAUGUUUUCUGCUUUCUGUGUGUGAAAGGAGCAUCGUGGCAGAGCAAACGCUGUGCUCUCUGCAGGCAGGAAGUACCAGAUGACUUCCUAGAAAGGCCUACACUUCUGUCUCCAGAGGAGCUGAAAGCCUCUGCGGGAGGUCGAGGUGGAGCGACAAGUGAUCAUGCCUGGUAUUAUGAGGGCCGUAAUGGUUGGUGGCAAUAUGAUGAGCGGACCAGCCGUGAGCUGGAGGACGCUUUCUCUAAGGGCAAAAAGACAGCUGAAAUGCUGAUUGCUGGUUUUUUGUAUGUAGCUGACUUGGAGAACAUGGUGCAGUAUAGGCGCAAUGAGCAUGGUCGUAGACGCAAAAUGAAGAGGGACGUUUUAGACAUACCCAAGAAGGGAGUGGCUGGACUGCGACUGGACUCUGAGGGUGUAAGUGGGGCCCUGGGGGCAGCAAGUCGUGAAAACUCUGCUGAUGGGGCAGAUACUACGAUAGCAGAUAUACAGCAACAGGUUACAGGUGCCCCAUCUGCUAUUACAGUCCCCUCAGCCGCUGCCAGGCCCCCCACUUCCCUCGGAGGUCAGCCUGACUCCAGUACUAGUCCCUCUCUGGAGGAUGCCCUUUCCCAGUUGGAAAUCAGUCCCAGGCCCACUCCUUCUCAUGAGCGGUCUGACACUGGGGAAGGAGAGGAAGAGGAUGAGGAGGAGGAGACGUCACCCUCCAGGUCCUCUGACCCUCACACCUCUGUGGACGAGUCUGGCUCUGGAGACUGGAGUGACGAUGAGGAAGAGGAGGGGGGAGAUGGAGAACAUGUGGAGCCUUGGGAGGAUCAGCCACGGAGACAAAGACUGACACCAGAUGACAGAGCACCUCCUCGGGCAGAGUCUGCCUCUCCCUCUCCUUCAUCCAGUAGUAGUGGAAGGUCCAGAAUGCCUGAUGGCCAGUGUACAAUGACUGAAGUGUGAUCAUUAAUACCAUCAGCACUAUGUGGAUAUGUUCCAAUCCAUUUAGGUGGUUUUCACGCAGUCACAGAUCUGAUGUAGGUGGGUUGUUUGGAACCAGAGAAAUAAGGCACGAAACUUUCAGCAUCAAAUCGCAACACUUUUUUUGGUUUUUCAGUAUCAUCACUGAGAUACAGACAGCAGGAAUUUGUUGAGAUGCUCUUGAACUGAGUGCUUUUGGUCUGAGAGAGAGAAGCUUAACAGUUAAAUGGAUUGUGUUGUGAGCCAUGACAUUUCAUAACUUUAUUUAGCACAUCAUGUGAGGAAGUUUUAACAGACUUCUGUUGGUGUUCAGCUGUCAUCAGUAUGCUCAUUUUUGGUUGCAGGCACACUGAGGCCGUUCUUAAAUCCCAGAAAAGUGGAAGUUAAAUGCUAAACUUAACUGAGCUUCUUGCUUUUGUGUUUACAUUUAUUAUCCGAUACCCAGAAGACUUUUGGGAGUCCUGGUCAGAUUUGUGACUUGCAGUGAAAGAAGACAGAAGUUAACUCCUGGAAAUGGAACUGAGUCACUAAUAUAAGUGACUGCAUUGUAUUCAUCUACAUUUUAACUCUCUCGGCUAACAUAACACACAGAAAUGGGCUCAUUAGAGCUCUAGUCAUCUGACUACUCUGGCAGAAAACUUAAUCCUUGAUAACUUGGCCCCAGCUUCCACCCUACACAAAAGAUUUCCUUCAGAACUUACUGAUUAUGAAGCCUUUCCUGUGUCAUUUCCUAACAUAGCUGUUAACUUUUGGGAAGUUGUCACUAAAGAGCUGGAAACAUAAAAAGUUCCAUGAGGCUUUGAAGCUUUAUGGGUGUUUGCAUUUAACAUGUAAUAUUUAACACCAUAGUCAUUUUAUUUACAGGUCAUUUGGCUGUUUGCCAUGGUUUUGUUUUUAAUUCAGAUUACAGUUAUUUGAAACCCAAAAUUUAGUACAUUUAGAAUCCUAUUUUAAAUUAAUGUUAACAUAAGUACAUAUCUGACUUCUUAACUUUUCCAAGCUUUGAAGAAUUGGCAUUUUAUUGAAAUAUCAAUGUUUUCCCUAUUGAAGCUGUUGAAGCAUCUGUAGCCUAAUUAUUGUUCUUAUUGUCCCUGACUAAAAUAUUCAAAAGUGGUUCUGAAGUUCUGUGAUUUGUGUGUGUUUGAAGAGAGAGUUAUUUAAACCCUCCUGGUUGGCAGGAUGUUGAGAACUGAUGUUUUUUGGAGUUCAGUUGAAGUAAACGUUUAUUUUAUUUGUGCAUUUCCAACUGUUGUAAAUCCUGUUAUAUACAAAGUCUGAGAGAGUAAAAGAACAAGGAUAUGCUAGUUCUAUUGGCCAUCCUGCAAAAAGUUUCAAGUGAUGUUAUUUUUAUAUUUCUUACAUCAGCUCAGUUUAGAUUUUCCAUUCUGAUGAAUAAAGUUUGUGUAACUGUUUUGGCUUGAACUUUUGUCUUUUGUUAUAUGGUUUAUAAUUUAAAAAUAAACGUUGUUUCAUCAUCCUAAAGAGA